rnacentral:lncRNA from 1 species
UACUAACAAUAUUUUAUUUUACAAUUAUUGAAAAUAUGUAAACAAUUUAACAUUGAAUUUCAGGUAAAUAUAUACAGUUCAGCCUUCUUUCAAGUAAAAUAAUUCCAGUAAGUCAAAAUGAGAAUGUUAAUUGAUUUGUGAAAAAAGCGCCGAAAUCAAAAUUUCUCCGUUGAUCCAACUGAUACACCACAUUGGAAUUUGUAAAACAUGCGUAGUGCGCAGAAGAGAAAAUACCAUCGAAAUUCAACACUAUGAACAACAAGAACCUGUCCACGAUCAACUAAAUGGUAAAAUAAGCGAUGUCAUUUAGAAUAACAAAAGAUUGUAACGAAUACUCGAACGUCCGAUAUCAGGCAUUCAGGGCGUUCAAGUUUUCUUAUUAGAAAAAUAUUAAUUUAUCUUUAAACAAUAACGAUAACCGUAAUGCCAAUCUAUUAGCUGAGGUUUUCGAUAAUAAAAAUAAGUUUUUUAAUCUUAUAAACCGUACAGUUCCGUAAAAAAAAAAUAUUUUUCAGAAUUGCGUCAGUGGAGCCUCGCGGCGAUACAAAGGAAAUUUUUCGUCCGCCAUGUUGGCGUUGGUCUGAUAGGAGGGCGGACUUACCAUAAUGUAAUCACAAAAUUCUGCAACGUAGAACAUUUUCUCUCGACUCGCUCAAGGACGCACACACUUCUAAACAUGGCGACGGCUCCCGACAAAUUUCGACCGCGACCAGACCGAGAGCUGCUCGCUGCUUCACGUUUACACAAGCCACAGAGAGAUGCCGCUCCAACUAAAUGCUGCAUCUGCGAUUGGUUGGACACAACCGGAUACUUGGCAACGUGGCAGUAUCAAAUGUUCCUGAUUGGUUACUGGUAAAAAUAUUAAAAGGACUCGUUUUCCGACUAACGAAUCAAAUCAGCAACUAUUAUUUUUUGAUCCAAAACAUACAUUCUACAAAAUUUAUCGUGUUCGACAGUAUUGCAUCUAUUAAAAUUAUUAAUAAAUAAUGCGUACAGUUUAUAGGAUUUAUUCAACUUAUCAGUUUAAAUUUUGUAAAAACUAGAAAAGCAAUUGGAUUUAUAUGCUUUAAAGAAAACUUUAUGAGCAUCAAUCGUAAAGUAGGUGUUUUUUACAAAACCUGAGCCAAAAGAACUGCAAUCACUUCUGAAUACUAAAUGAUUACUGUUUUUUCUUGAAAGUUAUGUACGAAUCGGACAAAUAUGGGCAUACCUUGCGAACGAUAUUACAUCACUUUUACAUUCUUAGAAUUUCAUGUAAAUACUUGCACAAAUGUCUCGAUACAGUUUAUAAAGCAAACAAAAUGAUAUCACCUAACUUUAUACAUAUUUUCUUCAACAUUUACUUUUCAAUUUGCAAAGUGAAAUAUACGUUUCUCAGAUAAUGUAUAUUAAAGAUAACAUUUUAUACUUAUUUAAUUUACUACUGGUGAAACAAAAUUAUCACUGUAGAAAGUUCAGUAUCAGAAAUCCAUAAUUACAUCUUAUCCUUCACAAAUUCUUAUAUGCGUGCAACUUAAAAUUAUUGUUUAUAAUAAAUUUAGUGAAAAAAUAAAAUUAUGUUUCAAUGUGAAACAAAUUUCAUAGUUAGCGCAACAUGGUUGUCGAGUUUGUACGAAACCUCGCCACGUGCUAACUUGCGACCAUUACGUGGUCUUAUCAUUUAUAGCAUGAAAAUGUGUAAAAUGUAUAAAAGAAAUAGAAGUUUGUUUUACUUA